rnacentral:rRNA from 1 species
UACGUAGGGUGCAAGCGUUUGUCCGGAAUUAUUGGGCGUAAAGAGCUCGUAGGCGGUUUGUCGCGUCUGCCGUGAAAGUCCGGGGGCUCAACUCCGGAUCUGCGGUGGGUACGGGCAGACUAGAGUGAUGUAGGGGAGACUGGAAUUCCUGGUGUAGCGGUGAAAUGCGCAGAUAUCAGGAGGAACACCGAUGGCGAAGGCAGGUCUCUGGGCAUUAACUGACGCUGAGGAGCGAAAGCAUGGGGAGCGAACAGG